UGGGAUUGAAAUGUAUAGGCUGGCAACUGGAAACAGAUGCUGUUCACUUCGGUGACUUAUAUGUAGGUGCUGCAUGGUU
rnacentral:rRNA from 1 species